rnacentral:tRNA from 1 species
AAUUGAGUGGCUAAGCGGUUAAGGCGGAGGAUUUAAACUCCUCUUCUCGAGAGAGAGAGUGUAGGUUCGAACUCUACCUCUAUUA